GGUGCUUGAUCCUAAGUAAGCAAUCAGGCUAAAAUUUGUGUAAUGUUGUUAUAUUAGUGUUUUGGGUUUUGAUAUUCUUAUUCCUUUUGGCUAAGAAAGAGAUAAAUGAAAUAAUGUAUAUCAUUGAUCUAUUUGCUCAAUGGUUUUUCCUCGUGCAUUUGCCAAAUCUUCUAAGGUUCUUGUUAUAUCUUUCUUGCCACUUCUGUCUGUCCAGCGCACCUUUUGUGGAAAUGCUAAAAGAUAUCUGUUUAUGUUGCAGACUUGGUGCAGAGAUU
rnacentral:misc_RNA from 1 species